rfam:Oesophagostomum dentatum strain OD-Hann O_dentatum-1.0_Cont1295.10, whole genome shotgun sequence.
AGCUUUGCGCAGAGGCGAUAACGUGACCAAUGAGGCUCUGCCGAGGUACGUUUAUUGCUGGUUGGCAAUGAAAGUUGAAGCCGCGGUAAGUUUUGAAAGUUCUUAACAA